AUGUCAACGACGAGUGUCCCUCGCAUUUUCCUUCUACGAGCCGGCAGCUCGCCGCCGGGACGAGACAAACGCGACGCCCCCGUUCGUUUCCGCUCCCGUCCACACGCGGCCAUAUCAACCAACGCCUAUUGGAGGAAGCCAAGUGGAAAACACCGCCUUGCCCAUAAAUCCAGCCAGGAUCCGCCACGCACCAUCGCUGUCUGUUUCUCCUUGUCUCAGUCCCUAGCUACCACCACCGCAGCGUGCGCAGCCAUGGACGCGGCAACCUCGACGACGCUGCUCUACGGGGCGCUGCUCGCGGCUGCUUUCCUCUACGUCGCCACCCUCCGGCGUGGCCGCGGCAGGGGCGAAGGCGGCCUGCCGCCGGGCCCAAGGGGCCUGCCGCUCUUGGGCAGCCUACUGUCCCUCGACCCGGACCUGCACACCUACUUCGCCGGCCUCGCCGACAAGUACGGCCCCAUCUUCUCCAUCCGACUCGGCUCCAAGCUGGGUAUUGUCAUCACCUCCCCGGCGCUGGCCCGCGAGGUGCUGCGCGACAACGACCUCAUCUUCUCCAACCGGGACAUCCCGGACGCCGCGCGCUCCAUCUCCUACGGCGGCGGCCAGAACAUCGUCUGGAACCCCGUCGGUCCCACCUGGCGUCUGCUCCGCCGCGUCUGCGUCCGCGAGAUGCUCAGCCCUGCUGGCCUGCAGAAUGUGCACGGCCUCCGCCGCCGCGAGUUCAGGGCCACGCUCGCGCACCUGCACUCUAUGGCCAGCGCCGGCAAGCCGGUUGACGUCGGCGCCCAGAUGUUCCUCACCACCAUGAAUGUCAUCACCUGCACGCUGUGGGGAGGCAACAUAGGGACCGAGAGCGAGCGGACGGCGGUGGGCAAGGAGUUCCGGGAGCUUGUCGCGGAGAUCACCGAGAUGCUCGGCGCGCCCAACGUGUCAGACUUCUUCCCGGCGCUGGCGCCGUUCGACCUGCAGGGGAUCCGGAAGAAGUCGGACGCGCUCAAGGAGCGGUUCGACGAGAUCUUCGGCAGGAUCAUAGAGAAGAGGGUCGAGGCCGACCAGGCCGGCGCCGACACGGCGGAAGACUUCCUCGAAUACAUGCUCAAGAUGGAGAAGGAAGGUGGCGACGGGAAGGCCGCCUUCACCAUGACCAACGUCAAGGCCCUGCUCAUGGAUAUGGUGGUUGGGGGGACAGAGACGACGUCGAACACGGUGGAAUGGGCGAUGGCGGAGAUGCUACAAAACCGGCGGAUACUGCGGAAGGUGCAGGAGGAACUCGACGCGGUGGUUGGGAUCGAUGGCGUGGUGGAGGAAUCGGAUCUCCCGCAGCUGCACUAUCUGCAACUGGUGGUCAAGGAGACGCUCCGGCUGCACCCGGCGCUGCCGCUCAUGGUGCCGCACUGCCCCAGCGAAGACACGACCGUCGGCGGCCACCGCGUCCCGGCGGGAAGCCGCGUGUUCGUCAACGCGUGGGCGAUCAUGAGGGACCCCGCUGCGUGGAAGGAUCCGGCGAAGUUCAUCCCGGAGAGGUUCGCCUCUCAGGCGAGCGACGGCGACGGCGGGCGGAAGGUGGACUUCACCGGCAGCGAGCUGGACUACGUGCCGUUCGGGUCGGGGAGGAGGAUCUGCGCGGGCAUCGCCAUGGCCGAGAGGAUGACGGCAUACUCUGUGGCCAUGCUGCUGCAGGCCUUCGACUGGGAGCUGCCGGAGGGGGCGGCGCUGGACCUGACAGAGAAGUUCGGCAUCGUCAUGAAGAAGGCCACGCCGCUGGUCACCGUUCCGACGCCGAGGCUUUCCAGACCCGAGCUCUAUUCCGCAUAG
rnacentral:rRNA from 1 species